rnacentral:rRNA from 1 species
CCUACGGGAGGCAGCAGUGGGGAAUAUUGGACAAUGGGGGAAACCCUGAUCCAGCGACGCCGCGUGAGUGAAGAAGUAUUUCGGUACGUAAAGCUCUAUCAGCAGGAAAGAAAAUGACGGUACCUGACUAUGAAGCCCCGGCUAACUACGUGCCAGCAGCCGCGGGAAUACGUAGGGGGCAAGCGUUAUCCGGAUUUACUGGGUGCAAAGGGAGCGUAGACGGGAGCGCAAGUCUGGAGUGAAAUGCCGGGGCCCAACCCCGGAACUGCCCUGGAAACUGUGAAGCUGGAGUGCAGGAAGGGUAAGCGGAAUUCCUGGUGUAGCGGUGAAAUGCGUAGAUAUCAGGAGGAACACCGGCGACGAAGGUGAGUGACUGGACUGUAACUGACGUUGAGGCACGAAAGCGUGGGUAUCGAACAGGAUUAGAUACCCCGGUAGUC